CACAAGUGCCAGAAGUGUAGGUAAUGAUACAGGUAGAGAGGCUGGAAGAGUGUGAGAGGGAAGACAGCCUGCAGGGAAGCAAGACAGAGAGCAUAAGUGGGAGAGAAGCUGACAGACCCUACUAAGCAGGAUCUUUAUUUUUAAUGCCUUUAUCUGUUUCUUACAUUAACUUCAUCCAAAGAAAGGACACACUUUGUUCCAGAAAUAACUUAGAGAAAAGUAUUUGUAGCAGACAUGAUAUUAAACAGAAGUUACUAAACUGGACAGUUUUCCAGGCAUCUGCUUCAGUCAUUGACUGGUGCUGAUACUGCACAAGAGAUUAGGACCCUGUUUUCAAAAUGACAGAAAUGCAAAUAAUCAGUGGAAUAUAUAGAUAAAGGAAGCACUCCUGCUGAUGUGAGGGGAAUAAACUCAGUUCUUCACAAUCUGAGAUUUCAUUAACCUUGUUUUAUGCUGCAUUAACUAGUAUAAGCCAUGAAAUUACGUAUUCCGUUUGAAAGCCUAAGCGUUUUGGUUUGACGUCCUUCAGUUGUAGUGAAUUCUGUAUAUUUACGCUUGAACUAAGUUUUCUUUAUUUGUGUAAAGUGUGUUGGGCAGUCAUCUCUUGAUCUUCUGUAACAUGGGCAAGGGGAAAGAAGAAUGUUAAUCCCUUCUCUUUAUGAAUUGAUACAUAUAGUUAACUCUUUGGGUAGGUGGUAAGCAUACCCCCCCCCCCCCCCCCCCCCAAGUUUAUGCUUUCCUGAAGGAAUUUAGUUCUUUCCCUGCUUCGAGUUUAUUUGAAAGAGUUGUUUUCAGAGUAUCGAUAAACAUUUUCAGUGAGCAUCCUUACAGUUACCUUGGACAAAGGAACUUUAUCUAAAGUAAUGUGUACCAGUUUUACUACAGGCAUGAGAGCCAAUACCCUCCACCCCCAUUCUGAAGAACUGCAACUGCCGUAGUAUUAUUGCGUGAGAAUCCCAGGUGCUGGAAUGGAUCCAAGUUGUGGCCAGCUAAAGUCACCCUGUUCAUUCUCUGGUAGUACAUUUUUAUUUCCAGAGGAGAAAGAGCAGGAAGUUUAAUACUGUUCUUUGGAAUGAAAAGCACCUUUGAAAGGCUGUGCUCAGUUAAGUGUUUUAUUUGUAAUUUUCCUGUUACUUUCUUAUCAUUUUUAAGUGAAUUUUCACAAGGGUUUGAUUUUGUGUCACUUGGAAUUCAGUUGGCCCCUUUCAGUCCCUUUUUAAGUUGAUCAGCCAGAUUUAUGAUGUUAACAACAAUCUCUGAUGUGCAAGAAUAAGCCUGGACUUAUUCUUUCAGAUCUUUCAGAUUGCUCAGCUUUUGAUGCUGUGUCUUUGAAGGGGUGUUGAUAUCUUAAUAAAUUUCAGCAGAACUGCACUGGGGUGGUUUCAGACUUCAAUCUCUCACCCUGCACUCCAAAAGCACUCAGAGGAGCUGAGCUCACUCCCUUUAGCUUAUGGUUUCUCUCACAAGAAAAGCAAGGGUUUACUUGUCUGCUGAAAUUAUAUGUGUGAGGUACCCAAAGGGAAAUGAGAUGCUCUGAGCUGGAAUAAUCAGUGUUCCACCACAUCUUUUGGCAGAGUCGGAAGACAUUGCGGUCUGAUACCAUCUGCACACCAAAUGUGCUGGUUCCUUACAUUCUACAUGAGAAUUCAAAAAGAGAGCAAAUCCUCCCUUGAUCAUUAGACUAAAGCAUUAAAUGAGAUAGACUCACAAAAAUUGCUGCUUUGGCCUGUUAUCUUUAAUAUUGCUUUGAUCUGUGCCAAUUUCAACUAUUUUGGUAAUAGUUCAUGCCACUUUCUGUUGAACAUCAGUUAUCUAAAAUCUAAUUUAUGUAGUUUGAAUGUAUCAGAAAAUAAGAUACAAGUUUUCUGGUGCUAGAUGUUUUUAAGAAUGCAUUGGUCAUGAUUCUUGUCUAUCUCUUUUCCUAAAAGAAACCGUAAUUUCCAUAAAUACGAAAUGCAUUCACUGUGCUCUAAAACUCAAAUACCUGUGUUGUUAAUACUGAUAAUUGCCAAAGCCUGUUAGUUCAGUGAAAGCAUGUAAGCUCUCUCAUAGCAAUGCAAAUUGAAAGGCUUAUUUCUUAGGUUGAGCCCUUGUGGUUUGAGGUAGUACUGUCUCCUUUUGUCAGUUGACAUGUAUUUUUAGCUAACUUGAAGGCUAUACAGUGGACCAUUAGCUUAAGCUGAAUCAAGAAAUUGAUACUGGCCUACUUCUCUAGGUAAAGAUUAGUUCAGCAGUGUGGAUCCAAUAAGGGCUGAACUUCUCUCAUACUGUGGAGCUUUCCUUUGUUUUUCUGCAGAAUGAUAUGUAAAUUAAAAUUUAAUAGGAUACAAAUUACAGCAUGACGUAUUGGUCUUUUAAUUCCCUGGGCUUCUGUCUUUUUAAACAUGUGAUAGCAGGAUUGUAUUUUUUUUGAAAAAAGGUUUAUUGUAUAGCAUUACAUGAUUUUUGUCUUCAACUCUUUCAUUAUUCAGUUUCAUCUUGUUUUUGAAUUUCAUUACUAUUUCACUACUCAUCUUAAAGUCAAUCCUAAAUAUGGACAAAGUCUGAAGUGGAAUAGGUGUUCACAUGUUGAAGUUAGUUCCUGGAACAGGCCUCAUAAGGCUGCUGCAGAGGCAGCUGCAAUGGUCAGUGUUUGUGAACCUUGCGGGACUGCUGGUGUGAAUGCAGAACUGGAUGGACAUGCUCAGUUUUAAUCUUGAAUCACUCUUCAGUUUCUCAAGCUCAGCCCUGGUCAUCAGUUUCAUUAGUUUCAUUAGAACUGAAGAUGACUAUUCCAAGGAAGUUUCCUCAGGUUUUUGGUUUGGUGUUUACUUCGGGGUCUGUAUUUUUUUUAUAUUUUUUUUAACCCCACUGAAGGUAGAAUGACUUAUUUCUAAGCUUACCAGAAUCUGCACUUUAUUAUACAGAAUAGUGAGCAUUUUUAUUUAGUUAAUAUUUGUUCCCACAUUAGAGCUCAAUUCUAGUUCAGACUUCUCUCUCCUCUUUUUAUUUUUAUUACAAAGUGCAAAAAAGGCACAUGGACACAGUGUGUUUGCAUUUCUGAGAUGCCAAAAUGGCAACGUAUUCUCAAUCCUCUUUGCACUAGGCCAGAGGCUGAAGUGGAAUUUUCCUGCCAAGUGUAAUAAAGGUUCAUAUUCAUUGGUCUGUGGAUAUUUACUGAGAAGAAGGAGGGAGAUAAAGUUCAGAUUCAGAUUUUUGAUGGAAACUUGGCCGAACUCUUUACACUGAAAAGAUUCUAUUUAUAGUUCAGUCUCUAUGCUGAGGACUGUUUUUGGUAGAAACCUUGUACUGUGUAGGAGCCAAUAUAUGAUGUGAUGUACAGUAGGCAACAAUUUGCUCAAGCAGCUCAUGUAACUUCAGUUUUCUGUGCCAGUGUGUCUUAUUUCUGAUAUGUUGAUAUGAAAAAGUAAAAAUUGUGAUCUGUUGACUCACCUCCUUUUGCUUAACUGUGUCUCUGCACUUCCAAGCUUUUCAGUUAUUUGUGUGUUGCCCUAACUCCAGUGCAGUUCAGACUUCUGAACUUGCAGUGAGAAUAGUACAUGACAUUCCACAGCACAGUACUGUUGAGAUGAUUCUGUUAGCUACUGGUGGAGCCUUCAGAAGAACAGAGUCUUUGUACUAGUUAAAUUAGGGUGUAUAUUUUUGGUGGGUUAGAUUGUGUCCAGGAAUGUCAAGGGAGCAUUUACUCUAAACCAAGUUUCUGCAUUUUUGUCCAUCUAUUUCUAAAGAAGUUGCGUAUGAAGCCCCAGUUUGAGCAGAAGACAUGAUGGAACAGCCUGGACAUUGCUAGGUCUGGAGGCCAUCAGACAAAGGAAGACAUAUAAGACUGACAGACCAAUUCCUUAAAUUCCAUUAAAGAAUUAGUCUUUUGGGUACUAUUACAGUUUGCAUGGACUUUGGGAUGCUAAGACAGGAAGAGCCUCAAUUUUUGGUGGACUCUGAUGGGCUCUCAAACUUAAAAUGCGUGGUGAUGUCCAAUCUGGCUAGUGCUUUGUAUUUUCUUUAGGUGAUAGUUGCACCUUUAAGCAGUAAUAGAGGUUCUAGUUGGGGUGAAGCAUACUAGAGACCAAUUUAUUGGUAAAUAGUGCAGGACCUGCAAUAUAUGGCUUAUGUUGACCAUGACUGGUACCCUCUCUUUGUGUGUCUGUCUAUAUGUCUCUCUGUCUGCAUGUAUAUGUAAAGUAAUUGGCUCUUAAAGUUAGGCUAAGGAAAUCAAAAGCUGUAUAAAUCCAGGUUUCCAGGGGAUUUUGCAGAGCCUCCACAGUUCGGAGGUGGCUUCUUGUCAGCCAUCAUCAAUGUCUUGUGUAGUAGCUUGUCAUCCUAGUUCCUUGCUUUAAACUGGGAUUUGGAUUUGAGUUAGGUCAUCUAAACCUGCAAGAGCCAAUGUUGUAAAGCACAAUGCAGUUCUUGGAUUUUUUUUGGAAAAGGAACAAAGCUUCUGGCUUUUUUGCCCAGAUUGGGUUGAGGUUUGGGUACAGAUGACUUGGAGAGCAGGAGAGAGGGGAGGGCUGUUUGGGUUAUUUUUGUUUGUUUGAUGGAUACUGGCAGAAGCCCCAAAGUUAGGAACAGGGCUGAUACCAGUGUUAGUUCUUGCCUUAUGGUCUCAUUUAGUGCAGAGGUAAGCAGUCUCAAGGUUAAGGUUUAGGUUACUUUGAUGUCUCUGAUUAGGGUCUGAGCAUCUAAAACUGAGAGAGUGCAAUUUACUGCCAGGUCCAGCAAUCAGAAGAGGUAGGAGGAGGCUCAAGUAGAAAGUGCUGUGUUGCAGCAGCAUUUUUCUUCAUGAUGGUAGCCUUCUUGGUUUAGGCUUUUUUCACCUCAAGCCACUGUGGAUAAACAGGUAUAAUUUUGGAAUCUGGAAUUGUGACCUGUCUAAUUGCAAAUUAAAAAUGAUUGCUAGGACUUAGCCGAGAUGACCUGUGAGAGACUCGAGAAAUUAAGAGGUUCCUUAUUUGCCAUGUUCUGCCCAAAUUACAAAUAUUUUUCUUGAUAUUUUGGUAUUCAACAGAAACAUACUAAGGAUUUUGUGGUGGUGGCAGGUGCUGACAAAAAUUGGUAUCCUACUGAGAAUGCUUUGAAUCUAAGUUUACAGGUAGAAACAGUAAAUUGAUCACUUAUGCUGUCUGUGAUUCACAUAAGUUAAAGAUAGUAAAUACUUCCUCCCAAAGCAGACUUGUGCUCUGACAGUAGAGCACGUAGAGCAAAACCUCUGCUAGCAACUGUAAAUACAAUCAUAGAAUGGUUUGUGAUGGAAGGGACCUUAAAGGUCACCCGAUUCCAACCCCCCUGACAUGGGCAGGGACACCUUCCACUAGACCAGGUUGCUCAAAGCCCCAUCCCAGCCUUCCAGGGGUGGGGCAUUCACAACUUCUCUGGGCAACCUGUUCCAGUGCCUCACCUCCCUUACAGUAAAGAUUUUUUUUUCCUCAUGUCUAAAUCUACCCUUUUCUAGUUUAAAGCUAUUACCCCUUGUCCUGCCAUGUAAUGUUGGAUGGUGCUGUAUGUGCUUGCUGUUACAGAACAUGAACUUUGUUAGCCAGCUUUAGCCAGGAGAAAUAACUAUUAUUCUUUUCAGGAGGGUUAAAAUAUCACUUAAUUUUAUACAGCCACAGCAUCUAAUUGUGUCUGUCAGAUACCGGUUCUUUG